rnacentral:lncRNA from 1 species
UUUGCCUUCUCACUUAUGAGCACCAAAACAAUGGUUGCAGGGGCUCGCUUUCUUCUCGAGACUUCCUUGCCUCAAGUGCCCGAGCUUCCAAAGCCUGAGCUGCCACAAUUGCCCAAGCCUGAGCUUCCACAUUUGCCAAAGCCUGAGCUGCCACAAGUGCCUAAGCCUGAGCUUCCACAACUUCCUAAGCCUGAGCUUCCACAGUUGCCAAAGCCCGAGCUGCCACCGCUUCCUAAGCCUGAGCUACCGCAGUUUCCAAAGCCUGAGCUACCGCAGUUUCCAAAGCCUGAGCUGCCACCAUUGGCUAAACCCGAAAUACCAUCAGCACCUCAUGUCCCAACUUUGCCAAAGGAAGGCCAUAAGUUGGCUGAAAUACCACAUGCCCCAACCUUGCAUGAGUUACCUCAACUUCCAAAGCCUGAAUUGCCACCACUUCCCGCUUUCCCAACUUUGCCGAAGCCCGAGCUGCCAGCGGUGCCCAAUGUCCCUACUUUACCAAAGC